GGCAGCAUAGCCCAGUUGGUAUGCUGCCAUCUUCCCGAUCACAUAAUAAAAAAGAGUAUGAUCAGGGCGCGGGUUCGAAUCCCGGUCCAUGUCG